rnacentral:rRNA from 1 species
UACGGGGGGAGCAAGCGUUGUUCGGAUUUACUGGGCGUAAAGGGCGCGUAGGCGGUCGUGACAAGUCACUUGUGAAAUCUCCGGGCUUAACUCGGAACGGUCAAGUGAUACUGUCGGACUAGAGUACAGAAGGGGCAACUGGAAUUCUCGGUGUAGCGGUGAAAUGCGUAGAUAUCGAGAGGAACACCUGCGGCGAAGGCGGGUUGCUGGGCCAACACUGACGCUGAGGCGCGAAAGCCAGGGGAGCGAACGGG